rnacentral:rRNA from 1 species
CCUACGGGCGGCAGCAGUGGGGAAUAUUGGACAAUGGGGGCAACCCUGAUCCAGCCAUGCCGCGUGUAUGAAGAAGGCCCUCGGGUUGUAAAGCACUUUCAGUGAGGAAGAACGCCUGAUGGUUAAUACCCAUCAGGAAAGACAUCACUCACAGAAGAAGCACCGGCUAACUCCGUGCCAGCAGCCGCGGUAAUACGGAGGGUGCGAGCGUUAAUCGGAAUUACUGGGCGUAAAGCGCGCGUAGGUGGCUUGAUAAGCCGGUUGUGAAAGCCCCGGGCUCAACCUGGGAACGGCAUCCGGAACUGUCAAGCUAGAGUGCAGGAGAGGAAGGUAGAAUUCCCGGUGUAGCGGUGAAAUGCGUAGAGAUCGGGAGGAAUACCAGUGGCGAAGGCGGCCUUCUGGACUGACACUGACACUGAGGUGCGAAAGCGUGGGUAGCAAACAGGAUUAGAUACCCUAGUAGUC